UUUGUAAAAUAUCCCAACCAGUUGCCCUAUCCUCAAAGCACACAAAAAGAGUGUUAGAUUGGUCGUGGCAGAGCAGGAGAGGUCCCUUUCCUUUUCCUUUUUCAGCCCUAUACCUCGCACGCACUCUCACGCUCCCAGCUCCAUUGCCCUUUGCGAAUUUCGUCGAACACAAUCCAAACUCCUUCUCACACUCUUCUUUGUUUUCUCCCCCUCUUUCCGUUUGGAUGCCCAGAAAAUUCCAGGGAAUACGUACAAGAAAAUUCUUAAAUCGUUUCGUAUUUUUCUGACAAUUGUUUUUUUCCCUCUUACUUUGUUGAGCAAUACUAAUUUGUCCUUUCUUCGUUCUUUUUGGGUUUUUUUGGAUUCUAGGGUUUCGAAUAGCUUUGAUGGUUGAUUUUUGCUAAUUGUUCUUUUGGGCGUUAUCUUUCAAAUAAGAUAGGGUUUCUUGCGAGUUUCUUGGGUUUGAGGAAUUAGGUUGUUGUUGUUGUUGUUGUUUUUUAAAUGGCGGAUCGUAAUUCUGCUUUGGCUAAACCGAUAUGGAUGAAGCAAGCUGAGGAGGCGAAGAUCAAGAGCGAGGCGGAGAAAGCUGCGGCCGCGAAAGCAGCUUUCGAAGCCACAUUCAAAGAUGUGGAAAAAAAUCGCGUGAAAGAUACAGCAGGUGUUUCAUCGGACAGCGAGAGCGAAGAAGCUGAGGACUUGUCGAACAAGCCCAUUGGGCCUGUGGACCCUGCGAAGUGUACGGCAGCUGGUGCUGGGAUCGCUGGCGGAACGGCGUGUGCUCCGUCGUCAUUUGGGGUGGUGACUAAAGAUGCUGAUGGGAGGAAGGUACCUAAUGGGGGUGCUCAAAUCAAGGUGAAGGUGUCUCCUGGAGUUGGAGUUGGAGGAUCAGAGCAAGAAGGGAUGGUGAAGGACAUGGGUGAUGGAACUUAUACAGUUACCUAUGUGGUGCCAAAAAGAGGGAAUUAUAUGGUUACUAUUGAGUGUAAUGGGAAACCCAUUAUGGGUAGCCCAUUCCCAGUGUUCUUCAGUGCAGGUUCUACUACACCCACUAAUACUACUACUACAUCUAACGGAGGGCUACUCGGUCUGGCUCCAACAUCUACUUAUCCAAAUUUAGUUAACCAAACCAUGCCCAAUAUGCCAAAUUAUACUGCAUCUGUUUCGGGGGCAUUUCCAGGAUUACUGGGAAUGAUCCCUGGUAUCAUUCCUGGUGCUUUAGGGGGGGCUAUUUUGCCUGGCAUUGGAGCAUCUCUUGGUGAGGUUUGUCGGGAAUACCUUAAUGGUCGGUGUGCCAAAACUGAUUGCAAGUUGAACCACCCUCCUCACAACCUUCUAAUGACGGCAUUAGCUGCAACAACCAGCAUGAGUACUGUAAGUCAAGUACCCAUGGCUCCUUCUGCUGCUGCAAUGGCUGCUGCUCAGGCAAUUGUUGCUGCUCAAGCCCUUCAAGCCCAUGCUGCUCAGUUGCAAGCACAAGCUCAGUCGGGCAAAGACUUAUCUGGUUCACCUGACAAAGCUGGGAAGGCUGAUGCACUAAAGAAAACACUUCAAGUUAGCAAUCUUAGCCCACUUCUCACUGAAGAGCAACUGAAACAACUUUUUAGUUUUUGUGGUACUGUUGUUGAUUGUACCAUCACUGAUUCAAAGCACUUCGCCUACAUAGAAUACUCAAAACCUGAAGAAGCGACAGCUGCAUUGUUAUUGAAUAAUAUGGAUGUUGGGGGUCGCCCCAUGAAUGUUGAAAUGGCAAAAUCACUACCGCAGAAAUCCUCUCUAUCAAAUUCUCAGUUAGCUUCUUCGUCUCUGCCUAUGAUGAUGCAACAAGCUGUUCUCAUGCAACAGAGACAAUUCCAGCAAGCUUUAGUGAUGCAGCAAACCAUGACUGCACAACAAGCAGCUAACCGAGCUGCAACCAUGAAAUCUGCAACAGAGUUGGCAGCAGCAAGAGCUGCUGAAAUAAGUAAGAAAUUAAAGGCUGAUGGACUUGUGACUGAAGAGAAGGAAGAGAAGCCGAAAUCUCAGUCACCUUCGCCUUCUCGAGCAAAGUCAAGAUCUAAGUCAAGAUCACCAAUCAAUUAUCAAAGACGGCGAAAGUCCCCUUCCUACUCUCCUCCAGUCCGCCACCCAAGAGAUCGAAGAUCUAGAUCACCGUUGAGGUCUCGUCGUGGCUAUGACAAUGAGCGACGUUCAUAUAGAGACUUUAGGGAUAUCAGUGAUAGAUACAGACGAAGAGAUUCCACCAGAUUUCGCGAUUAUCAUUUAUCUAGUUCGAGAAAGCAUAGGAGUAGGAGUGUUAGCCCAGGAACCAGAAAAUCAUAUCGAGUUGACUCUGUCUCACCUAAACGUCAUCGAGAAAGUUCUCCACGCAGAGCAACUCGUGCUGGUUCAAGAUCACCAAACUAUACCAGAGGAAAUAGAUUGUCUCCAAGAAUUGAUGAUGAUCACAAGCUUAAGCAGAGAAAACGCUCCAGGUCAAAAUCUCCAAAUGGUAAGUAUCACUCAAAUGGCAGAAGAGAUGAAACUCGCCAUGAAAGAUCAAAGCAUAGUGAUAGAAGGCGAUCCAGAUCAAUAUCUGUAGAAGGUAAGCAUCAUAGAAGAUCAUCUCCGAGAAGUCCAGAUGAGAAUAAAUCCAAACAUAGAAGGCGGUCCAGGUCAAAAUCCGUGGAAGAUAAGCACCGCUCCAUUGAGAAAGUGGAUGGUAACAAAGGUGAAAAAUCAAAGCAUCAUGAUAGAAGGCGCUCAAGGUCAAAAUCUUUGGAAGGUAAGCACCUCUCAGAUGAGAAUGUAGACCAAACAAAAACUGAAGAUAAAGAAGAUGAUAGAAGACAAUCAAUGUCGGACUCUUUGGAGGAUAAGAUUAACUCUGAUGACAAAGUGAAAGAAACCAGAGAUGAAAGAUCAAAGCAUCGUGGAAGGAGGCGUUCCAGGUCAAGAUCUGUUGAAAGCAAGCAUAAAAUGAAGGAAAAAGUAGAGGACAGCAAGGGAAAAAAACCAAGGCAUCGUGGUAGGAGACGAUCCAGGUCAAGAUCUGUUGAGGCUAAGCAUCACAAGGGAAGUGGAUCAUCCUUGAGAGUUUUUGAUGAUAACAAAGCAAAAUAUAGAAGGCGCUCCAGGUCAAAGUCUGCUGAUGGAAAGCAGUGCUCAAAUGAUAAAAUAAAUGAAAGUAGAGAGGGGAAAUCUAGGAGUCACCGGAGAGGACGGUCCAGGUCAAACUCAACAGAACGUAAGGUUCGCAACAAAAGUAGCAGAUAUCAUAGUAGUUCAGAUGAAAGUGAGUCAAAACUCCAGAGGCAGUCUAAGUCAGAUUCUGAAGGGGAACCGAGCAAGAAGGAAGCAUUGAUCACUGAGCAUUUGGAGAUGUCUGGAGCUGAACUGGAAGAUCAAAAUCAUUUUGAGAAGUCAAGGCACAUGGAUGACAUUGCGGAUAGUCCAUCAGACACGGGUGCAGAAGACACAAAUAUUUAUAUUGAUGGCAGGCCUGCUUGAAUUCAAGAUUCUUCAUUUCAAGGAUGUUGACAAGAGUCACAGUGCCGAUAAAACUCACCCUAAAUUUGAGAAGCUUAUCAAGACACUUAGAGAUUCUGAGAAAUGAGCUUAAUUUAACUUUAUGAGGAGGGCGAUUUUCUUGGAAGAUUGCUUAAUUUUUCUAUUGGCGUGGCUCUUCAUGAAAAUGCUCUGUUUUUUUUUUUAAUAUUUUGCAGGUCUCUUGGAAUAGAUUGGAUAAAUGUCUCUGAGCGGGAUAGUUAUGUAUUUCAAGGAUGUUCUGCAUUCAUCUGCAAUGAACCCAUGCAUGGUUGUAGUUUAUACAUGGUGAUUUCUUUGGAGCUUUGUGAGAUUCAUUUUGGCAGAGUUGAUUUUUGUUAUGAUGUAAAUGAAGGUAACGCCAAGCGUAAAGUCAAGUGAAAAUCAGAUUUUGCUGGGAGGAAUUGCAUCAAAAAUUCCACCAUGAUGAGUUUGAGCAGACGGGGUGAUUCACUUUUUGUUCUUUUGCUUAAAUACACGGUGAAAUGCAUGUUGAUUAUAAACAGGAUUUUUGAUGAUAUGAGAAAUGUCAUGCUGCCUUUGGUUCUCUCAAUACUAGGCGUCAGUGAGGCUUGAAGUGGACAUUUUUAAAUGGCUCUCCUAUUUUAUAUUCCAUAGGUGUGUUUGUGAUUCUUUAGUUUUUGGUCAUAUUUAGAUUAACAUCCUUGUUUUGCUGUUGUUUUCAUUACCUAUUAAACUAACUAAGAUUACGAAUUUUCUUUUUCCUUUUCUCGGGAAAAUUCUUUGCAAUUCUAAGUUACAAACUCAGCCCUUUAAAAGGCUGUCUUGUGUGUGGUGUGGUAUGAAAUUUACUGAUGUUUUUACAUGUAAUAAUAAUAUGUGGCCUUCGGUACAAAUGGUUUUGA